CCGUUCAAGACCAGGACGUUGAUAGGCUGGGUGUGUAAGCGUUGUGAGGCGUUGAGCUAACCAGUACUAAUUGCUCGUGAGGCUUGACCAU
rnacentral:rRNA from 1 species